rnacentral:rRNA from 1 species
UCAGAAGGGGGCUAUCGUUGUUCGGAAUUACUGGGCGUAAAGCGCACGUAGGCGGACUCUUAAGUCAGGGGUGAAAUCCCGGGGCUCAACCUCGGAACUGCCUUUGAUACUGUGAGUCUCGAGACCGGAAGAGGUGAGUGGAAUUCCUAGUGUAGAGGUGAAAUUCGUAGAUAUUAGGAAGAACACCAGUGGCGAAGGCGGCUCACUGGUCCGGUUCUGACGCUGAGGUGCGAAAGCGUGGGGAGAAAACAGG